rnacentral:rRNA from 1 species
GGCGAACGCUGGCGGCGUGCCUAACACAUGCAAGUCGGACGCGAAAGGCUCCUUCGGGGGCCCGGUAGCGUGGCGAACGGGUGAGUAACACGUGGGUAACCUACCCCUGGGUGGGGAAUAACCCCGGGAAACUGGGGCUAAUACCGCAUAAGGCCAAUGGGACGCAUGUCCUGUUGGUGAAAGCGGGGGACCCGAUGAGGGCCUCGCGCCUGGGGAGGGGCCCGCGGCCGAUUAGCUAGUUGGUGGGGUAAUGGCCCACCAAGGCGAUGAUCGGUAGCCGGUCUGAGAGGACGGCCGGCCACACUGGGACUGAGACACGGCCCAGACUCCUACGGGAGGCAGCAUG